rnacentral:rRNA from 1 species
GAAGGGGGCUAGCGUUGUUCGGAAUUACUGGGCGUAAAGCGCACGUAGGCGGACUUUUAAGUCAGGUGUGAAAUCCCGGGGCUCAACCUCGGAACUGCAUUUGAAACUGGGAGUCUUGAGACCAGGAGAGGUUAGCGGAAUACCGAGUGUAGAGGUGAAAUUCGUAGAUAUUCGGUGGAACACCAGUGGCGAAGGCGGCUAACUGGACUGGUACUGACGCUGAGGUGCGNAAGUGUGGGGAGCAAACAGGAUUAGAUACCCUGGUAGUCCACACCGUAAACGAUGAGAGCUAGUUGUUGGCAGGCAUGCCUGUCGGUGACGCAGCUAACGCAUUAAGCUCUCCGCCUGGGGAGUACGGCCGCAAGGUUA